GGAUUUGUCAGUUGGUCGGGCUUCACUGUCCGUAUUGACUUGAUGGAUUCUUACCUUCUGAAUAACCAGCAUGCUAUUAAGUUAGUGCGUUGGGGAACCAGGACCUUUACCUUGAGAAAAUUAGAGUGUUCAAAGCAGGCCAUUGCCUGAAUACAUUAGCAUGGAAUAAUAAAAUAGGACGUGCGGUUCUAUUUUGUUGGUUUCUAGAGUCGCCGUA
rnacentral:rRNA from 1 species